rnacentral:rRNA from 1 species
UACGUAGGGUGCAAGCGUUGUCCGGAAUCAUUGGGCGUAAAGCGCGUGUAGGCGGCCCGGUAAGUCCGCUGUGAAAGUCGGGGGCUCAACCCUCGAAUGCCGGUGGAUACUGUCGGGCUAGAGUACGGAAGAGGCGAGUGGAAUUCCUGGUGUAGCGGUGAAAUGCGCAGAUAUCAGGAGGAACACCAAUUGCGAAGGCAGCUCGCUGGGACGUCACUGACGCUGAGACGCGAAAGCGUGGGGAGCAAACAGG